rnacentral:lncRNA from 1 species
GGGUAAGAUAUAAUAAUAUACUUACUUGAUUAUAUAAGACCUAAUGUGGUAUGUUAUAUGAUCAUGUAUUGUAGAGACUUAAAGACUUAAAGAGUACGUGUGAUAAUCAGUAAGCAAACGCUGAAGGCAAGUAUUCUAACCCUUGUUCCAGUUCAGUCUGGACAAGCUUUGUAAUUCAUGUAUUCUUUCGCACGAAGUCUUAAAUGAUGAAGUCAAAGCCAAUUCUUUCGGCUAGACUUAUAUUAUGAAUCUGUCAAGCAUGAUUAAUGUUUACCGAGUUAUAUUGGUAUAGUUUUCAAUCGAAGACUGAGUAUGCUAAAUUGUCUUUGUCGUUUAACGACAGUCACGUGAGGUUGCCACAACUUAAAUGUAUACGCGUUUAAUGAAUGUAGUGUUGAUCAACAUAGAGUACUAUGGGUUGAUCACCCAGAAGUGCUCGUAAGUAAUGUCGGACUUACGAACUUAGUGUCGGGAUGUCCUUUUCAAAAGAACUGAUGAAAUGCUCAAGGUCUUGGACCGAAAUUGAUGUUUUACUGAAUAUUGUUGUUGUAAAAUGUUUUGAAGGAAAAAGAAGUGCUAUUUUGAAUUAUCGAUAGUACUUCGUAACUAUUGUUCAGUUACAGAAGAUAUAUGAGUUCUAUGUUUCAAGCAUGUUGUUUAUAGAACUGUAGUACUUGUUGAGCUAGUCAUGCUCACUCUUUCUUGAACCAUAUGAACAUAGCUAAGAUCGAAUGGACCGAAGGCUCCGACAAGGAUAAAGGCAAGACGUAGACGAACCCUUAGAGUUCUUAUGUAAUAGUAUAGGUGAACGAUUGUAAUAUAUUUGAUAUUAUGACAAGAACAAGUGAAUGGGUUAUAAAGAACCUGGGGAAUGUAAAUAUUAUUUUAAUAUAUAGAAGACAUAUUCGUUCUUUUGAGGCAUUUCAAUUGAAUGUAUGUAUGAAUGGUAGUACCGUGUAGCACCAUCUGUCGGGUUGAAAGAUACCCGAAUUUGGGGGCGUCACAUGAACACUUAAAACCUUACUUUUACUCUGUAAUAUAGUUUAAAACAUAGAUGUGAACAUGCUAAAAGGUUCAGUUUAUAAAUAAAACAGUCAGACAGCUCUGCAGUAUGGCACACCUGCACUGCAGUUUGGCUUGGGAGUGAUGCAGCUGACCAGACCAGAGUUAUUUUUGAGUUUUCCUGGUUCUAGCUUACUUUCUAGAAUACACGGGUGAUUAACACAUAACAAAUACGCAUGUUAAGAGGUCUUGGGCUAGCUUUGGAUUCUUCUGUUCACCUUAAGUCUAUUUUCAAAAGUUAUGACUUUAUUUUAAAGAUUUCCAUUUACUCAAGGCUAAAUAAGUUCAUGAAAUCAAGAGGCUAACCAUGUUAACCAUUUAACCACGUAAGGAUGUAAGACAACCUAUGAUACGCAUGCUCGCAUGUAUUUAAUUCAUUUACACAUAACUAGUAUCGUUCAUUACUUGAAAACUUGUUUAAAAUAUGUUUAAAUAGUUCGUAAUGUGCCUAACUUGAUGAGUGCACAUAUAGGUCAUGCUUAGUGAUAUAAGGAGUCUUACUAUACUGGUUCUAAACUUCAGAAUGUAAAUAACAUCAUGCUCAUAAACAUUAGUUUCAAAGCUUUCAAGUUUUCUUUUAAAACUUAUUAUAAAAUAAGCUAAAGUAACUUUGUAUAUGCAAAACAACUUUGAAUCACGUUUUGUACUUAACUAUGCCAUAUACAUAUGCUAACAAGGUCAGAACUCAAAGAACAUAAGUUUCAUCAAGGUUUGUUUUCAAAACUCUAAGUCUUCUUUAGAAAAUAUACAUUUAAGCAACCCAUGGUAUGCAAAGGAACUCUAGACUACAUUUCAUACUCAUUUUCAUGUGUAUUUAAGUCAAACUAAGAUGAUAAAAUUAUCAGAUUAUAGCAGAAGUCAGAAUCCUUUCCUGGUGCACGGCGCAGCUGUGCCAUGUUGAACUACAGAUGGGCCCAACUGCGCCCAACUGCGCCCUUCCCUGGACAGCUCUAGGAAGGUCUCUAUUUCUGCAGAACUCAGCAACCAUACAAGAAAUACUUCAAAACAACAAGCUUAAACCAACCAAAUUGCUUUCAUGCAUUAAUAUAAACUCAGUUAACAUGUAGAUACUAAUUUCUAAUCUAAUUAACAGAUGAUUCAUGAAAAUUCUAAGAAUUUAUAAAACUUAAACUCAAGAACUUGCUUACCAGUAAUGUUACCUCUUGAAGCUUG